rnacentral:pre_miRNA from 1 species
CUGAGGUGGAGUUCUGUUAUACACUCAGGCUGUGACUCCCGGCAAGUCAGUGCAUCACAGAACUUUGUCUUGGG